GGGAAGAUAUGCAGGGCGCACGGCGGAUGCCUUGGCGCAGGGAGACGACGAAGGGCGCGGCAAGCCGCGAUAGUCCCUGGGGAGGCGCACACGGCCUGAGAUCCAGGGGUACCCGAAUGGGAGAACCCGGCGGGAGCAGUCCCGUCAUCCCCCCUCUGAACUCAUAGGAGGGGGGAGGGCAACCCGGGGAACUGAAACAUCUAAGUACCCGGAGGAAGAGAAAUCAACAUCGAGAUCCCCCGAGUAGCGGCGAGCGAAAGGGGGCCUAGGGCAAACCGGUGAGCGCACGCGGGCGGCAGCCUUCGCGCCACCGGGGUUGCGGGGCGGACCAUCCGGGACCUGCCGGUCCCGGCGGCCGUCCGGCGAGGCGAGCGGAACGGCAUGGGAAGGCCGGCCGCAGCGGGUUAGAGCCCCGUACGCGAAGCCUCGACCGGAGACCGGCGUCCGUUCCCCGAGUAGGGCCGGGCACGGGGUACCCGGUCCGAAGCUGGGUGGACCACCAUCCAACCCUGAACACUCCCCUGCGACCGAUAGCGCACUAGUACCGUGAGGGAAAGGUGAAAAGCACCCCGGGAGGGGAGUGAAACAGCACCUGAAACCGUGCGCCCGCGAGCAGUCGGAGCAGACUUGUUCUGUGACGGCGUGCCUUUUGUAGAAUGAGCCAGCGAGCCACCGGUGCGGGGCGAGGUUAAGCUUGGAAGCGAGCCGCAGCGAAAGCGAGUCCGAACAGGGCGACGAGUCCCGCGCCGUGGGCGCGAAGCCGGGUGAGCUAUCCCUGGGCAGGCUGAAGCGGGGGUAAGACCCCGUGGAGGGCCGAACGCACGUCGGUUGAAAACGGCGGCGAUGACCUGGGGAUAGGGGUGAAAGGCCAAUCAAACCCGGAGAUAUCUCGUUCUCCCCGAAAUAGCUUUAGGGCUAGCGUCGGGGGUUCACCGCAGGAGGUAGAGCACCGGACAGGUGAGGGGGCUUCGCCGCCUACCGAUCCCGACCGAACUCCGAAUGCCUGCGGCCCACACCCCGGCAGUCAGAGCAUGUGGGCUAAGCUGUGUGCUCGAGAGGGGAACAGCCCAGACCGCCCUCUAAGGCCCCCAAGUCCAUGUUGAGUGGCAAAGGAUGUCCGUCUGCGCAGACAGCCAGGAGGUUGGCUUAGAAGCAGCCACCCCUUCAAAGAGUGCGUAACAGCUCACUGGCCGAGUGGACGGGCGCCGACAAUACACGGGGCUAAACAUGGCGCCGAAGAGGCGGAUUCGCGCAGCACUGCGCGUCUGGUAGGGGAGCGUCCCGCGCGGGGCGAAGCGGAAGGGCGACCUUCCGUGGACCGCGCGGGAGCGAGGAUGCUGGCAUGAGUAGCGAGAGACGAGAGAGUAACUCGUCCGCCGUGAACCCGAGGUUUCCUGGGCGAGGCUAAUCCCCCCAGGGUCAGUCGGGGGCUAAGGCGAGGCCGGCAGGCGUAGCCGAAGCGCAGCAGGUGGACAUUCCUGCACCGCAGAUGAGCGUCACGACCGACGCGGCGACGGAUGGGGGUGGCUCGGCGGGGUUCUGGACGUCCCCGUGAUGGAGCGCGGCCCGCAGGGGAGGGAAGUCCCCCCUGCACGAGGGUUAGGCUCCGGACGAAGCGACUGAGCGAAGCGAGUGAGCCCGAGGUCCCUAGAAAAACCGCUAGGCAGCGAUUCUGCGCCCGUACCGCAAACCGACACAGGUGGGUGGGUAGAACAUACCGAGGCGAUCGGGUCAACCAUGGUCAAGGAACUCGGCACAAUGGCCCCGUAACCUAGGGAGAAGGGGUGCCCGCGCGUACGUGAACCGGCUUGCCCGGGGAGCGGAGGCGGGCCGCAGUGAAGAGGCCCAAGCGACUGUUUACCAAAAACACAGGACUCUGCAGAAGCCGCAAGGCGACGUAUAGGGUCUGACGCCUGCCCGGUGCCGGAAGGUCACGGGGAGGGGUUAGCUUUCCGCGAAGCCCCGAACCCAAGCCCCGGUAAACGGCGGCCGUAACUAUAACGGUCCUAAGGUAGCGAAAUUCCUUGUCGGGUAAGUUCCGACCUGCACGAAAGGCGCAACGACUUGGGCGCUGUCUCGACCGUGGACCCGGUGAAAUUGCACUGGUCGUGAAGAUGCGACCUACCCGCGGGAGGACGGAAAGACCCCGUGAACCUUCACUGCAGCUUGGCAUUGGCCGCUGCUCGGGAGUGUAGAGGAUAGGCGGGAGGCUGCGAUGCCGGGGCGCCAGCCCCGGCGGAGCCGACCUUGGAAUACCGCCCUCUCCCGUGCGGCGUCCUAACCCCCGGCCGUGAGCCGGCGGGGGGACCGUGCCAGGCGGGCAGUUUGACUGGGGCGGUCGCCUCCUAAAGGGUAACGGAGGCGCGCGAAGGUCCGCUCGGGACGGUCGGCAACCGUCCUCAAUGAGUGCAAGAGCGUAAGCGGGCUUGACUGCGAGGCCCACAAGCCGAGCAGGUGCGAAAGCAGGCUCUAGUGAUCCGGCGGCUCCGCGUGGGCGGGCCGUCGCUCAACGGAUAAAAGGUACUCCGGGGAUAACAGGCUGAUCUUGCCCAAGAGUCCACAUCGACGGCAAGGUUUGGCACCUCGAUGUCGGCUCAUCGCAUCCUGGGGCUGGAGCAGGUCCCAAGGGUACGGCUGUUCGCCGUUUAAAGCGGUACGCGAGCUGGGUUCAGAACGUCGUGAGACAGUUCGGUCCCUAUCCCCCGCGGGCGCAGGAGAAUCGAGGGAGGCUGCCCCUAGUACGAGAGGACCGGGGUGGACGGACCUCCGGUGCACCGGUUGUCGACCAACGGCAUGGCCGGGUAGCCGCGUCCGGCGCGGAUAACCGCUGAAGGCAUCUAAGCGGGAAGCCGUUCCCGAGAUCAGUUCUCCUUCCGGUAAGGGCCCAGGUAGAACACCUGGUCGACGGGCCGCAGGUGCAAGCCCCGCGAGGGGUUCAGCCGAGCGGUUCCGAUAGCCCGAGCUCUUACCCAC
rnacentral:rRNA from 1 species